UACGUAGGUGACAAGCGUUGUCCGGAUUUACUGGGCGUAAAGAGCGCGUAGGCGGUCCGAUAAGUCGGUUGUGAAAACUGGGGGCUCAACCCUCAGAGGCCGACCGAUACUGUCGGGCUAGAGUCCGGAAGAGGCGAGUGGAAUUCCAGGUGUAGCGGUGAAAUGCGUAGAUAUCUGGAGGAACACCGGUGGCGAAGGCGGCAUCCUGGACCAACACUGACGCUGAGUGAGCGAAAGCCAGGGGAGCAAACGGG
rnacentral:rRNA from 1 species